ensembl:lncRNA
CAGAGGAUAAACCCCGACUCCAACAUCAUCACUGAAUACGCUAACUCGGUGAAGUACGAAGUCUCGAGUGAGCCACGGACUGAUGGACUCCUGACCGAAGAAGUGGAUCUAAAUGAACCCUACCCAGUUUUACUAAAUGAAACAGAAGAUAGCGGAACUCUCUGGAACGCCACCGGGUACAAUAAAACCGAUCUGAUCAGAACAGAGAGCAGGAUUGAAGUAGAAGAAGAAGAAGGAGAGGCUCUGCUCGAAGCCUUCACAGAAGCACCAUCUAUUUUCAUUACUCAGAUUGACACCUCUUCAGACACGAUGGGUACAACAAAAGCAGAGGUAAGUAUGUUGGAUGUCCUCCACAGUCAGGAGAACGCAGUAAAGAAGAUGUCCGGGGAGAAGAAGAAGGGCCGAGAGAGAGGAAAGGGUAAAGGGAAUAAAGGACGAC